UACACACCUGCUAGAUUGCUAAGCAUUUUGUAUUCAUGUUCUUUAUUUUAUUUAUUACGACAACCUUAAAAAUAGAUACAAUUGUUUGCUCUUUAUAGAUUAGGAAAUUCAGGCUCUGUACUGUCAUUUAACUUGUCUGAGUUUUGAUAGAUUAGGGACACAGAAAAGGCAAAAUUAAAUUUUAGAUAUCAGUGAUGCCAUGGGGCUAAUUUCUGGAGUGUCAAUAUAGAAAAGUCAUAAGUACAUAGACGCCAGUGUCAGACUCUCUGCAUUCAAAUCCUGGCUCGCCUCCUUUUCCUGGAUUUGUGAACUGUUGUCAUUCUUGAACUUCUCAAAACUGCAGGGCUUGCAUCAUUGUAGGAGGCAGAGUGCCCCUUCUUAACUCGGAAGAUUAUUGUGAGAAUUUGAUGAAAUAAUGCAUAUAAAGAGCAUAGUGUCUGAUGUGAUAAAUUCUCAAGAAUUUUAGUUAGUCAUUAAUAUAUCUUAUUUUCUUACCAAAUUGAUAGGAAAGGGUUAUUUUCCCCCUGCAAUUUUGAUGGAGCAUAACCUCCACAUUGAAGCUGAGUUCAAAGUUUCCUCCAUUUCACAGAAACAUGGGCAGCAUCACUGAAGAUUCCUUCUGACUGCAUUAGUCCAUCACUUCAUGAAAAGAAAGACGCCACCAUUAUACAGAUGACAACAAAUACAAGAAAAAAUUUUCUAGAUUUUCAACAUACUUUUAUUUGGCAUGAAGGAUAUGUCCGGAGCUAAGCAAGAGCUGAAGAGGCAGAGGUAAAGAGGAUACCAUUCUGAAGAUCCAAGGGCCAAGGUCUUGGGAAUAGUUAAAUAUACUACAGCAGGCGUUAGCAGAAAUUGGUAAGAUGGACAGAGGCAGAGGCUGCAGGGAGGUGGAGCCUGAAACCGUGUCUUCAGGAGAAAGGUUUCUUACUACCUAGAUAGCAUUUAGUCAGCAAUGAAUGUCUAUCGUAUUAAGAAAACAUUAUAAUGAAUAUUACUGUGUUU
rnacentral:lncRNA from 1 species